rnacentral:rRNA from 1 species
UGACCUCGGAUCAGGUAGGGAUACCCGCUGAACUUAAGCAUAUCAAUAAGCGGAGGAAAAGAAACCAACAGGGAUUGCCUUAGUAACUGCGAGUGAAGCGGCAAAAGCUCAAAUUUGAAAUCUGGCGCCUUUGGCGUUCGAGUUGUAAUUUGGAGGGGCAUCUUCGGAGGUGGCGCCGUCCUAAGUUCCUUGGAACAGGACGUCAUAGAGGGUGAGAAUCCCGUGCCUGGAUGGCUGU